rnacentral:rRNA from 1 species
CAGUCGCCACGGUAAUACGUAGGUGGCAAGCGUUGUCCGGAAUCAUUGGGCGUAAAGUGCGCGCAGGCGGAUAGGUCAGUCUGUCUUAAAAGUUCGGGGCUUAACCCUGUGAUGAGAUGGAAACUGCUGAUCUAGAGUAUCGGAGAGGAAAGUGGAAUUCCUAGUGUAGCGGUGAAAUGCGUAGAUAUUAGGAAGAGCACCAGUGGCGAAGGCGACUUUCUGGACGAAAACUGACGCUGAGGCGCGAAAGCCAGGGGAGUGAACGGGAUUAGAUACCCGUGUAGUCCCUGUCUCUUAUACA